CCCUACGGGGCGCAGCAGGCGCGAAACCUUCGCACUGUGCGAAAGCGCGAUGAGGGGAUCCCAAGUGCUUGCUCGUAAGAGUAAGCUGUUUUUAUGUCUAAAAAGCAUAGAGAGUAAGGGCUGGGUAAGACGGGUGCCAGCCGCCGCGGUAAUACCUGCAGCUCAAGUGGUGAUCAUUAUUAUUGGGCCUAAAACGUCCGUAGCCGGUUUGGUAAAUGCCUGGGUAAAUCGUGUAGCUUAACUAUACGAAUUCCGGGUAGACUGCCAAACUUGAGACCGGGAGAGGCUAGAGGUACUCCUGGGGUAGAGGUGAAAUUCUGUAAUCCUAGGGGGACCACCCGUGGCGAAGGCGUCUAGCUAGAACGGGUCUGACGGUCAGGGACGAAGCCCUGGGGCGCGAACCGGAUUAGGUACCCGGGUAGUCCAGGGUGUAAACGCUGCUUGCUUGAUGUUAGUUGGGCUCCGAGCCCGAUUAGUGUCGGAGAGAAGUUGUUAAGCAAGCUGCCUGGGAAGUACGGUCGCAAGACUGAAACUUAAAGGAAUUGGCGGGGGAGCAA
rnacentral:rRNA from 1 species